rnacentral:antisense_RNA from 1 species
GCUAGAGGUUCUUCUGCCCAGGACAGUUCUAGUUAAGGAAAGACUGAUGAACUGGUCUUAGUCCUUUCUGUUUUUGCGUUUUUGUUUGCUUUUGUUUUCCUAUUCCCUUCUAAAUCUGGUUAAUGUGGGAAGU